rnacentral:rRNA from 1 species
GUGAACCUGCGGAAGGAUCAUUAAAGAAUGCCCCGUUUUUUGAAAUGGGUUCUAUUCCCAAACCGUGUAUACAUACCUUUGUUGCUUUGGCAGGCCGCCUUCGGGCGUCGGCUCACGCUGACCGCGCCUGCCAGAGGACCCAAACUCGUUUGUUUAGUGAUGUCUGAGUACUAUAUAAUAGUUAAAACUUUCAACAACGGAUCUCUUGGUUCUGGCAUCGAUGAAGAACGCAGCGAAAUGCGAUAAGUAAUGUGAAUUGCAGAAUUCAGUGAAUCAUCGAAUCUUUGAACGCACAUUGCGCCCCUUGGUAUUCCGAGGGGCAUGCCUGUUCGAGCGUCAUUAUGACCACUCAAGCCUAGCUUGGUAUUGGGGUUCGCGGUCUCGCGGCCCUUAAAAUCAGUGGCGGUGCCAUCUGGCUCUAAGCGUAGUAAUUUAUCUCGCUAUUGGGUCCGGUGGUUGCUUGCCAACAACCCCCAACUUCUAAGGUUGACCUCGGAUCAGGUAGGGAUACCCGCUGAACUUAAGCAUAUCAAUAAGCGGAGGAAAAGAAACCAACAGGGAUUGCCUCAGUAACGGCGAGUGAAGCGGCAACAGCUCAAAUUUGAAAUCUGGCUCUUUCAGGGUCCGAGUUGUAAUUUGUAGAAGAUGCUUUGGGUGUAGCUCCGGUCUAAGUUCCUUGAAACAGGACGUCAUAGAGGGUGAGAAUCCCGUAUGUGACUGGGUGCUUUCGCUCGUGUAAAGCUCUUUCGACGAGUCGAGUUGUUUGGGAAUGCAGCUCAAAAUGGGUGGUAAAUUUCAUCUAAAGCUAAAUAUUGGCCAGAGACCGAUAGCGCACAAGUAGAGUGAUCGAAAGAUGAAAAGCACUUUGGAAAGAGAGUUAAACAGUACGUGAAAUUGUUGAAAGGGAAGCGCUUGCAACCAGACUUGCGCGCUGUUGAUCAUCCGAGCUUCUGCCCGGUGCACUCGACAGCGUUCAGGCCAGCAUCGGUUUUGGUGGGCGGAUAAAGGCCUUGGGAAUGUAGCUUCUUUCGGGGAGUGUUAUAGCCCUCGGUGCAAUGCGCCCUACCGGGACCGAGGACCGCGCUUCGGCUAGGA